UGAAGCACACAUAUAGUGGAAUACAAAUGUGCCGAGAUAAGGAUCUUUUCUGAAUCUCGCAAUUUUGGUGGUGUACCCUAGCUGCAACAUCAUGUUGGUUUUUAUGGCUGUUUCUACUUCUGUUUAGAACGCAACCAUAGAGUUUCAGAGACAUGAAGAGUGUGAAGUGACCUCCCAUGUAUGCACCAGAUCUGCUUGAUGAAAUUCAAAUGCCUUACUAAAUUCAUCACCCAUAUGACAAAGUAUCAGGAAAUUUAUUUCAACAUGCGGAGUUAUGCUGAAUUGGUUGCUGUGAAUUCCAUUUUUACGGUUUUUCAUCAUAAACAUGUUAUUGUGCUUCUUA
rnacentral:lncRNA from 1 species